rnacentral:rRNA from 1 species
AAACCAGCACCUCAAGUGGUCAGGAUGAUUAUUGGGCCUAAAGCAUCCGUAGCCUGUUCUGUAAGUUUCCGGUUAAAUCCAUUAGCUCAACUAAUGGGCCGCCGAAAAUACUGCAAAACUAGGGAGUGGGAGAGGUAGACGGUACUCGGUAGGAAGGGGUAAACUCCUUUGAUCUAUUGAGGACCACCUGUGGCGAAGGCGGUCUACCAGAACACGUUCGACGGUGAGGGAUGAAAGCUGGGGGAGCAAACCGGAUUAGAAACCCCAGUAGUCC